AUAACGGUCCUAAGGUAGCGAAAUUCCUUGUCGGGUAAGUUCCGACCUGCAUGAAAGGAGUAACGAUUGCCGCACUGUCUCGGCCAAAGACUCAGCGAAAUUGUGGUUCCGGUGAAGACGCCGGAUACCCGCUACGGGACGGAAAGACCCCGUGCACCUUUACUAUAACUUAGCAUUGAGUUUUGGUGCUGCAUGCGUAGGAUAGGUGGGAGCCUGUGAAACUUCGCUUCAGGGCGGAGUGGAGGCAAUGGUGAAAUACCACCCUUGUAGUUCUGAAAUUCUAACUUAGGUCCGUUAUCCGGAUCAAGGACAAUGUUAGGCGGGUAGUUUGACUGGGGCGGUCACCUCCUAAAAGGUAACGGAGGUGUGCAAAGGUUCCCUCAGCUUGAUUGGAAACCAAGCGCAGAGUGCAAAGGCAUAAGGGAGCUUGACUGUGAGACUGACAGGUCGAGCAGGUGCGAAAGCAGGUCUUAGUGACCCGGUGGUUCUGUGUGGAAAGGCCAUCGAUCAACGGAUAAAAGGUACGCCGGGGAUAACAGACUUAUCUCCCCCAAGAGUUCACAUCGACGGGGAGGUUUGGUACCUCGAUGUCGGCUCAUCGCAUCCUGGGGCUGGAGAAGGUCCCAAGGGUUGGGCUGUUCGCCCAUUAAAGCGGUACGCGAGCUGGGUUUAGAACGUCGUGAGACAGUUCGGUCCCUAUCUGUAGCGGGCGAAGGAGAUUUGAGAGGAUCUGCUCAUAGUACGAGAGGACCUGAGUGGACGAGCCUCUAGUGUACCAGUUGUCGUGCCAACGGCAGUGCUGGGUAGCUAUGCUCGGAAAGGAUAACCGCUGAAAGCAUCUAAGCGGGAAACCUGCCUCAAGAUUAGAUCUCCCGAACGUAAGUUCCUAAAGGUCCCUUGAAGAUUACGAGGUUGAUAGGCUCAAGGUGUAAGUCCUGUGAGGGAUUAAGCUGAUGAGUACUAACCGACCGUGAGGCUUACUG
rnacentral:rRNA from 1 species